CCUACGGGGGGCAGCAGUGGGGAAUCUUAGACAAUGGGCGCAAGCCUGAUCUAGCCAUGCCGCGUGAGUGAUGAAGGCCUUAGGGUCGUAAAGCUCUUUCGCCAGAGAUGAUAAUGACAGUAUCUGGUAAAGAAACCCCGGCUAACUCCGUGCCAGCAGCCGCGGUAAUACGGAGGGGGUUAGCGUUGUUCGGAAUUACUGGGCGUAAAGCGCACGUAGGCGGAUCAGAAAGUUGGGGGUGAAAUCCCAGGGCUCAACCCUGGAACGGCCUCCAAAACUCCUGGUCUUGAGUUCGAGAGAGGUGAGUGGAAUUCCGAGUGUAGAGGUGAAAUUCGUAGAUAUUCGGAGGAACACCAGUGGCGAAGGCGGCUCACUGGCUCGAUACUGACGCUGAGGUGCGAAAGUGUGGGGAGCAAACAGGAUUAGAUACCCCAGUAGU
rnacentral:rRNA from 1 species